rnacentral:rRNA from 1 species
CCUACGGGGUGCUGCAGUGGGGAAUAUUGCACAAUGGGGGAAACCCUGAUGCAGCGACGCCGCGUGAGUGAAGAAGUAAUUCGUUAUGUAAAGCUCUAUCAGCAGGGAAGAAAAUGACGGUACCUGAGUAAUAAGCCCCGGCUAACUACGUGCCAGCAGCCGCGGUAAUACGUAGGGGGCAAGCGUUAUCCGGAUUUACUGGGUGUAAAGGGAGCGUAGACGGCAGUGCAAGUCUGGAGUGAAAGGCGGGGGCCCAACCCCGGGACUGCUCUUGGAACUGCGCGGCUGGAGUGCAGGAGGGGCAGGCGGAAUUCCUGGUGUAGCGGUGAAAUGCGUAGAUAUCAGGAGGAACACCGGUGGCGAAGGCGGCCUGCUGGACUGCGACUGACGUUGAGGCCCGAAAGCGUGGGGAGCAAACAGGAUUAGAUACCCGGGUAGUC